rnacentral:rRNA from 1 species
AGAGUUUGAUCCUGGCUCAGAUUGAACGCUGGCGGCAGGCUUAACACAUGCAAGUCGAGCGGGGAAAGGUAGCUUGCUACCUAACCUAGCGGCGGACGGGUGAGUAACGCUUAGGAAUCUGCCUAUUAGUGGGGGACAACAUUCCGAAAGGAAUGCUAAUACCGCAUACGCCCUACGGGGGAAAGCAGGGGAUCUUCGGACCUUGCGCUAAUAGAUGAGCCUAAGUCAGAUUAGCUAGUUGGUGGGGUAAAGGCCUACCAAGGCGACGAUCUGUAGCGGGUCUGAGAGGAUGAUCCGCCACACUGGGACUGAGACACGGCCCAGACUCCUACGGGAGGCAGCAGUGGGGAAUAUUGGACAAUGGGCGAAAGCCUGAUCCAGCCAUGCCGCGUGUGUGAAGAAGGCCUUUUGGUUGUAAAGCACUUUAAGCGAGGAGGAGGCUACUUAGAUUAAUACUCUGGGAUAGUGGACGUUACUCGCAGAAUAAGCACCGGCUAACUCUGUGCCAGCAGCCGCGGUAAUACAGAGGGUGCGAGCGUUAAUCGGAUUUACUGGGCGUAAAGCGUGCGUAGGCGGCUUUUUAAGUCGGAUGUGAAAUCCCUGAGCUUAACUUAGGAAUUGCAUUCGAUACUGGGAAGCUAGAGUAUGGGAGAGGAUGGUAGAAUUCCAGGUGUAGCGGUGAAAUGCGUAAAGAUCUGGAGGAAUACCGAUGGCGAAGGCAGCCAUCUGGCCUAAUACUGACGCUGAGGUACAAAGCAUGGGGAGCAAACAGGAUUAAAUACCCUGGUAGUCCAUGCCGU